CAGUUCGGAUUGGAGUCUGCAACCCGACUCCAUGAAGCUGGAUUCGCUAGUAAUCGCGCAUCAGCCACGGCGCGGUGAAUACGUUCCCGGGCCUUGUACACACCGCCCGUCAAGCCAUGGAAGCCGGGGGGUGCCUGAAGUGCGCUGCCGCAAGGACGCGUCCUAGGGUAAAACCGGUGACUGGGGCUAAGUCGUAACAAGGUAUC
rnacentral:rRNA from 1 species